rnacentral:piRNA from 1 species
UGAGAAUCCUGUCCCCAAACAACAUGCCAA